rnacentral:rRNA from 1 species
GUGCCAGCCGCCGCGGGKAAUACGGAGGAUGCAAGCGUUAUCCGGAAUUAUUGGGCGUAAGGCGUCCGCAGGUGGCAAUUCAAGUCUGCUGUUAAAGGUUCUGGCUCAACCAGAAACAGGCAGUGGAAACUGAAUAGCUAGAGUGCGGUAGGGGCAGAGGGAAUUCCCAGUGUAGCGGUGAAAUGCGUAGAGAUUGGGAAGAACACCGGUGGCGAAAGCGCUCUGCUAGGCCGUAACUGACACUCAUGGACGAAAGCUAGGGGAGCGAAUGGGAUUAGAUACCCCAGUAGUCCUAGCCGUAAACGAUGGAUACUAGGCGUUGCUCGCAUCGACCCGAGCAGUACCGUAGCUAACGCGUUAAGUAUCCCGCCUGGGGAGUACGCGCGCAASUGNAAACUCAAAGGAAUUGACGGGGGCCCGCACAAGCGGUGGAGUAUGUGGUUUAAUUCGAUGCAACGCGAAGAACCUUACCAGGACUUGACAUGUCGCGAAUCUUUGGAAACUAAAGAGUGCUUCGGAGCGCGAACACAGGUGGUGCAUGGCUGUCGUCAGCUCGUGUCGUGAGAUGUUGGGUUAAGUCCCGCAACGAGCGCAACCCUCGUUCUUAGUUGCCAGCAUUAAGUUGGGCACUCUAGGGAGACUGCCGGUGAUAAACCGGAGGAAGGUGGGGAUGACGUCAAGUCAGCAUGCCCCUUACGUCCUGGGCUACACACGUACUACAAUGCUACGGACAAAGGGUCGCAAGCAUGCGAAUGCAAGCAAAUCCCAUAAACCGUGGCUCAGUUCAGAUUGCAGGCUGCAACUCGCCUGCAUGAAGGCGGAAUCGCUAGUAAUCCCAGAUCAGCACGCUGGGGUGAAUACGUUCCCGGGCCUUGUACACACCGCCCGUCACACCAUGGAAGUUGGCCACGCCCGAAGUCGUUACCCUAACCGCAAGGAGGGGGAUGCCGAAGGCAGGGCUGAUGACUGGGGUGAAGCCGUAACAAGGUAACC